AGCAGUAGCCACGGUAAUACGUAGGUGGCAAGCGUUGUCCGGAAUUAUUGGGCGUAAAGGGCUCGCAGGCGGUUUCUUAAGUCUGAUGUGAAAGCCCCCGGCUCAACCGGGGAGGGUCAUUGGAAACUGGGAAACUUGAGUGCAGAAGAGGAGAGUGGAAUUCCACGUGUAGCGGUGAAAUGCGUAGAGAUGUGGAGGAACACCAGUGGCGAAGGCGACUCUCUGGUCUGUAACUGACGCUGAGGAGCGAAAGCGUGGGGAGCUAACAGGAUUAGAUACCCCAGUAGUCCCUGUCUCUUAUAA
rnacentral:rRNA from 1 species